GGCAACGUGGCUCAGUGGAAAGAGCACAGACUUUGGAGUCAGAGGUCAUGGGCUCGUAUCCCAGCUCUGCCA
rnacentral:tRNA from 1 species